AAACAUCCUUUCCUUCCCCCUUCACCUCACGGCAGCAAACACCCCUCUCAAUCUCACAUUUUUCAUUUCUCAAACACCUCAUUUUAACAUAUAAAAUCCUAUUUUAAGACCAUCUAAGAAGAUAGCAAGCAUGGAGGGUCAUUAGGAGUUUACUCUCUUCAUAAUCUUCAUCCCAAAGCUCACUAACCUCUUGCAAAAUUAAUGUGUCUGCCUCAAGUUGCAGAUCUGGUUGUUGUUGGUAGAUCUUCUCGAUCUUUGUGCCUGAAACCCUAGCUAGGGUUUUAUUGGAAGUGUGAAGGUUCUCCUUGUUCUUGGUGAAAACACUCUGUGUUGGUCUCUAAAUCCUUGAAGAUUUAGGGCAAACUGACCAGUAGUGUUUUAUUGAUUGUUGUUGAUUCUAGAUCUGUUGUUACAAAACUUCAGAUCUAGUUGCACCCACUGUGAGGCUAUUCUUUCCCUCUCUUUAUUUUUUGUUGAUUGGUUGAUUAGUUGAAGUCGGGGUAGUGAGGACCGGCACUUUGUUGUUGAUAUUUGUUUGUUGAUCUUGGUGUUUUUUCUUAGAUUGGUUGUAUUUGGCUCCUGUAUUAAGAC
rnacentral:lncRNA from 1 species